rnacentral:rRNA from 1 species
GACGAACGCUGGCGGCGUGCUUAACACAUGCAAGUCGAACGGAAAGGCCCUGCUUUUGUGGGGUGCUUGAGUGGCGAACGGGUGAGUAACACGUGAGUAACCUGCCCUUGACUUUGGGAUAACUUCAGGAAACUGGGGCUAAUACCGGAUAGUAGCUCCUGCUGCAUGGUGGGGGUUGGAAAGUUUCGGCGGUUGGGGAUGGACUCGCGGCUUAUCAGCUUGUUGGUGGGGUUGUGGCUUACCAAGGCUUUGACGGGUAGCCGGCCUGAGAGGGUGACCGGCCACAUUGGGACUGAGAUACGGCCCAGACUCCUACGGGAGGCAGCAGUGGGGAAUAUUGCACAAUGGGCGGAAGCCUGAUGCAGCAACGCCGCGUGCGGGAUGACGGCCUUCGGGUUGUAAACCGCUUUCGCCUGUGACGAAGCGUGAGUGACGGUAAUGGGUAAAGAAGCACCGGCUAACUACGUG